rnacentral:rRNA from 1 species
AUUGAACGCUGGCGGCAGGCCUAACACAUGCAAGUCGAACGGUAACAGGAAGCAGCUUGCUGCUUUGCUGACGAGUGGCGGACGGGUGAGUAAUGUCUGGGAAACUGCCUGAUGGAGGGGGAUAACUACUGGAAACGGUAGCUAAUACCGCAUAACGUCGCAAGACCAAAGAGGGGGACCUUCGGGCCUCUUGCCAUCGGAUGUGCCCAGAUGGGAUUAGCUAGUAGGUGGGGUAACGGCUCACCUAGGCGACGAUCCCUAGCUGGUCUGAGAGGAUGACCAGCCACACUGGAACUGAGACACGGUCCAGACUCCUACGGGAGGCAGCAGUGGGGAAUGUUGCACAAUGGGCGCAAGCCUGAUGCAGCCAUGCCGCGUGUAUGAAGAAGGCCUUCGGGUUGUAAAGUACUUUCAGCGGGGAGGAAGGGAGUAAAGUUAAUACCUUUGCUCAUUGACGUUACCCGCAGAAGAAGCACCGGCUAACUCCGUG